GCGAGGCCGAAAGGCGUAGUCGAUGGGAAACGGGUUAAUAUUCCCGUACUUCUUACAAUUGCGAUGGGGGGACGGAGAAGGCUAGGUGGGCCUGGCGACGGUUGUCCAGGUUCAAGUGCGUAGGCUUGAGAGUUAGGUAAAUCCGGCUCUCUUUAAGGCUGAGACACGACGUCGAGCAUCUACGGAUGUGAAGUCAUUGAUGCCAUGCUUCCAGGAAAAGCCUCUAAGCUUCAGAUUGUAAGGAAUCGUACCCCAAACCGACACAGGUGGUCGGGUAGAG
rnacentral:rRNA from 1 species